AUCGAUCUCUAACAACAUGUCUGGACGGGAAGGUGGUAAAAAGAAGCCUUUAAAAGCGCCAAAGAAAGGCAAGAAAGAUUUAGAUGAUGAUGACCUCGCUCACAAGCAAAAACUGAAGGAAGAACAGAAGAAGCUACAGGAAGCAAAGUCAAAGGCUUCUCAGAAAGGACCCAUGGGUG